CGCGGCCUAUCAGCUUGUUGGUGGGGUAAUGGCCUACCAAGGCGACGACGGGUAGCCGGCCUGAGAGGGCGACCGGCCACACUGGGACUGAGACACGGCCCAGACUCCUACGGGAGGCAGCAGUGGGGAAUAUUGCACAAUGGGCGAAAGCCUGAUGCAGCGACGCCGCGUGAGGGAUGACGGCCUUCGGGUUGUAAACCUCUUUCAGCAGGGACGAAGCGUAAGUGACGGUACCUGCAGAAGAAGCGCCGGCCGACUACGUGCCAGCAGCCGCGGUAAGACGUAGGGCGCGAGCGUUGUCCGGAUUUAUUGGGCGUAAAGAGCUCGUAGGCGGCUUGUCGCGUCGACUGUGAAAACCCGCAGCUCAACUGCGGGCCUGCAGUCGAUACGGGCAGGCUAGAGUUCGGUAGGGGAGACUGGAAUUCCUGGUGUAGCGGUGGAAUGCGCAGAUAUCAGGAGGAACACCGGUGGCGAAGGCGGGUCUCUGGGCCGAUACUGACGCUGAGGAGCGAAAGCGUGGGGAGCGAACAGGAUUAGACACCCUGGUAGUCCACGCUGUAAACGUUGGGCGCUAGGUGUGGGGGACCUCUCCGGUUCUCUGUGCCGCAGCUAACGCAUUAAGCGCCCCGCCUGGGGAGUACGG
rnacentral:rRNA from 1 species